rnacentral:tRNA from 1 species
AGUCCUGAGGUGUAACCAUAACGGAUUGCAAAUCCGGAGAAGUAGAUUAGCGUCUACCAGGGCUU